CCUACGGGAGGCUGCAGUGAGGAAUAUUGGACAAUGGGCGUAAGCCUGAACCAGCCAAGUCGCGUGAGGGAUGAAGGUUCUAUGGAUCGUAAACCUCUUUUAUAAGGGAAUAAAGUGUGGGACGUGUCCUAUUUUGUCUGUACCUUAUGAUUAAGGCUCGGCUAACUCUGUGCCAGCAGCCGCGGUAAUACGGGGGGUGCAAGCGUUGUCCGGAAUCAGUGGGCGUAAAGAGUUCGUAGGCGGCACGUAAAGUCUGGUGUGAAAGGCCGAGGCUCAACUUCUGUACGGCACUGGAUACUGGCGAGCUAGAGUGCGGUAGAGGUAAAGGGAAUUCCUGGUGUAGCGGUGAAAUGCUUAGAUAUCAGGAGGAACAUCGGUGGCGAAGGCGCUUUACUGGACCGUAAUUGACGCUGAGGAACGAAAGCCAGGGGAGCAAAUGGGAUUAGAUACCCGAGUAGUC
rnacentral:rRNA from 1 species